rnacentral:tRNA from 1 species
CGGGGCGUAGCGAAGCCUGGUAUCGCGCCAAGUUUGGGACUUGGAGACUCGUCGGUUCAAAUCCGGCCGCCCCGA